rnacentral:rRNA from 1 species
UACGUAGGGUGCAAGCGUUAAUCGGAAUUACUGGGCGUAAAGCGUGCGCAGGCGGUUUUGUAAGACUGUCGUGAAAUCCCCGGGCUCAACCUGGGAAUGGCGAUGGUGACUGCAAGGCUAGAGUUUGGCAGAGGGGGGGUAGAAUUCCACGUGUAGCAGUGAAAUGCGUAGAUAUGUGGAGGAACACCGAUGGCGAAGGCAGCCCCCCUGGGUCAAAACUGACGCUCAUGCACGAAAGCGUGGGGAGCAAACAGG